rnacentral:tRNA from 1 species
GGGGUUGUAGCUCAGUGGUAGAGCACUUGCCCUGUAUGCAUGAGGUCCUGGGUUCAAUCCUCAAUACCCCA